GGGUUGUGAGGUUAAGCGACUAAGCGUACACGGUGGAUGCCCUGGCAGUCAGAGGCGAUGAAGGACGUGCUAAUCUGCGAUAAGCGUCGGUGAGGUGAUAUGAACCGUUAUAACCGGCGAUUUCCGAAUGGGGAAACCCAGUGUGUUUCGACACACUAUCAUUAACUGAAUCCAUAGGUUAAUGAGGCGAACCGGGGGAACUGAAACAUCUAAGUACCCCGAGGAAAAGAAAUCAACCGAGAUUCCCCCAGUAGCGGCGAGCGAACGGGGAGGAGCCCAGAGCCUGAAUCAGUGUGUGUGUUAGUGGAAGCGUCUGGAAAGGCGUGCGAUACAGGGUGACAGCCCCGUACACAAAAAUGCACAUAUUGUGAGCUCGAUGAGUAGGGCGGGACACGUGGUAUCCUGUCUGAAUAUGGGGGGACCAUCCUCCAAGGCUAAAUACUCCUGACUGACCGAUAGUGAACCAGUACCGUGAGGGAAAGGCGAAAAGAACCCCGGCGAGGGGAGUGAAAAAGAACCUGAAACCGUGUACGUACAAGCAGUGGGAGCCUCUUAAUGGGGUGACUGCGUACCUUUUGUAUAAUGGGUCAGCGACUUAUAUUCUGUAGCAAGGUUAACCGAAUAGGGGAGCCGAAGGGAAACCGAGUCUUAACUGGGCGUUAAGUUGCAGGGUAUAGACCCGAAACCCGGUGAUCUAGCCAUGGGCAGGUUGAAGGUUGGGUAACACUAACUGGAGGACCGAACCGACUAAUGUUGAAAAAUUAGCGGAUGACUUGUGGCUGGGGGUGAAAGGCCAAUCAAACCGGGAGAUAGCUGGUUCUCCCCGAAAGCUAUUUAGGUAGCGCCUCGUGAAUUCAUCUCCGGGGGUAGAGCACUGUUUCGGCAAGGGGGUCAUCCCGACUUACCAACCCGAUGCAAACUGCGAAUACCGGAGAAUGUUAUCACGGGAGACACACGGCGGGUGCUAACGUCCGUCGUGAAGAGGGAAACAACCCAGACCGCCAGCUAAGGUCCCAAAGUCAUGGUUAAGUGGGAAACGAUGUGGGAAGGCCCAGACAGCCAGGAUGUUGGCUUAGAAGCAGCCAUCAUUUAAAGAAAGCGUAAUAGCUCACUGGUCGAGUCGGCCUGCGCGGAAGAUGUAACGGGGCUAAACCAUGCACCGAAGCUGCGGCAGCGACACUAUGUGUUGUUGGGUAGGGGAGCGUUCUGUAAGCCUGUGAAGGUGGCCUGUGAGGGUUGCUGGAGGUAUCAGAAGUGCGAAUGCUGACAUAAGUAACGAUAAAGCGGGUGAAAAGCCCGCUCGCCGGAAGACCAAGGGUUCCUGUCCAACGUUAAUCGGGGCAGGGUGAGUCGACCCCUAAGGCGAGGCCGAAAGGCGUAGUCGAUGGGAAACAGGUUAAUAUUCCUGUACUUGGUGUUACUGCGAAGGGGGGACGGAGAAGGCUAUGUUGGCCGGGCGACGGUUGUCCCGGUUUAAGCGUGUAGGCUGGUUUUCCAGGCAAAUCCGGAAAACCAAGGCUGAGGCGUGAUGACGAGGCACUACGGUGCUGAAGCGACAAAUGCCCUGCUUCCAGGAAAAGCCUCUAAGCAUCAGGUAACAUCAAAUCGUACCCCAAACCGACACAGGUGGUCAGGUAGAGAAUACCAAGGCGCUUGAGAGAACUCGGGUGAAGGAACUAGGCAAAAUGGUGCCGUAACUUCGGGAGAAGGCACGCUGAUAUGUAGGUGAAGCGACUUGCUCGUGGAGCUGAAAUCAGUCGAAGAUACCAGCUGGCUGCAACUGUUUAUUAAAAACACAGCACUGUGCAAACACGAAAGUGGACGUAUACGGUGUGACGCCUGCCCGGUGCCGGAAG
rnacentral:rRNA from 2 species